rnacentral:rRNA from 1 species
UGUCGUUAGUUGCCAUCAAGUAAAGUUGGAACUCUAGCGAAACUGCCGGUGCAAACCGUGAGGAAGGUGGGGAUGACGUCAAAUCAUCACGGCCCUUACGUCCUGGGCCACACACGUGCUACAAUGGUCAGUACAGAAAGCAGCCACUAUGCGAAUAGGAGCUAAUCUUUAAAGCUGAUCUCAGUUCGGAUCGGAGUCUGCAACUCGACUCCGUGAAGCUGGAAUCGCUAGUAUCGGAUAUCAGCCAUGAUCCGGUGAAUACGUUC